UCUGUAGGCGGCGGGGUAAGUCAGAUGUGAAAUCCCGGGGCUCAACCCCGGAACUGCAUCCGAUACUGCCUUGCUAGAGUAUUGGAGGGGAGUCUGGAAUUCUCGGUGUAGCAGUGAAAUGCGUAGAUAUCGAGAGGAACACUAGUGGCGAAGGCGAGACUCUGGACAAUUACUGACGCUGAGAGAGAAGGCCAGGGGAGCGAAAA
rnacentral:rRNA from 1 species